rnacentral:misc_RNA from 1 species
CGAAAUGCGAUAAGUAAUGUGAAUUGCAGAAUUCAGUGAAUCAUCGAAUCUUUGAACGCACCUUGCGCUCCUUGGUAUUCCUUGGAGCAUGCCUGUUUGAGUAUCAUGAAAUCUUCAAAGUAAAUCUUUUGUUAACUCAAUUGGUUUCUACUUUGGUAUUGGAGGUCUUUGCAGCUUCACACCUGCUCCUCUUUGUUCAUUAGCUGGAUCUCAGUGUUAUGCUUGGUUCCACUCGGCGUGAUAAGUUAUCUAUCGCUGAGGACACUGUAAAAGGUGGCCAAGGUAAAUGCAGAUGAACCGCUUCUAAUAGUCCAUUGACUUGGACAAUACUUUUAUGAUCUGAGCUCAAAUCAGGUAGGACUACCCGCUGAACUUAAGC